AGGACCAGUACACUCCCCUCCAUGAAGCAGCUGCUGGGGGCCACACUGGGACUUGCGAGCUUCUGAUUCGUUCUGGGGCUGAUGUUACGACCAAAAAUAAGUUCCAGUCCACUCCCCUGCAUAAAGCUGCUGCUGGGGGUCAUGACCGGAUAUGUGAGCUUCUGAUUCGUUCUGGGGCUGACGUUACGACCAAAAAUGAGGACCAGGCCACUCCCCUGCAUAAAGCUGCUGCUGGGGGCCACGACCGGACUUGUGAGCUUCUGAUUCGUUCUGGAGCUGACUUUAACUUCACCAUAAACACGGACCAGGACACACUCCUACAUCGGGCAGCUGGUAGGGGUGACACCAGGACCUGUGAGCU